CCCAUCUUCACUCACAGACAAGUGUCUCUGGAGAAAUCUGCAGUACCAGGUGGGACAGGCAAAGCUUCCACAAAUCCACCUCCUCUCACUUUUUUUAGGAAACAUCAAAAUACCUUGGAAAGUUUCUGCUGCUCCUAAGAACUCAGAUCUUUCCCUUCCAGACAGAAAAGGGCUUCUUUGCUUCUGAUAAAAACCAGGAGCACUGGGAAGACAUCUUGACCCCUUUUCUGAGCAACCAAAUUGCAGCAAAUGCCUCUGAAACCCUACAAAGGAGAACAGGGGGUUCUUCUGUGAUUUCAUACUCCAGUUCCACAAGGUUCAUCUGAGCAGGGGUGUUAAACUUGGAGUCUUGGCUGGACUCCAGCACAGUGCAGUGACAGUGUCCCAAGCACAGUCUGCUCUUCGUCACACGUUGCUCUCCUUCCCAGAGCACAUUUGAUGAGACACAAAAUGAUCUCCACUGAUCGAUUCCCUCAGGAAGCUGCUCCAGAGGUACCAAGGAUAAUUAUAGGGUGAAGGCUGUGGAGCUGUAGCCCACCCUCAUGUUCACCAGGAUAAAAUCCAGCCCUACCUCCCUGGAUCCUUCUGGGGUCCAUCCAACUCAGGAUAUUCUAUGAUUUUAUGGCUUCCAUGCAGCUCAAAACAUUCCAGCUGAGUGUGAGGACACAUGGGAUGGACAAACAGCACCAAAAGCAAAUUCCCCCUGUCCCACUGUGUGGGUUCUGCCUGAAGAGGCCAAGGGGACAAGCAGAGUUCUGUGUAACACCCCAGGGGAGGCCUGUGGGGAGAAGAAACCUCUUCUCCCAAAUGCUUUCCCUGCAGUCUCAGUCUCUGUCACCCUGAGGCUGUUGACCCCCUCUUGGAACAAACAACCAUGAAGAGCUAGGAGAAAUUCGGUCACACUCUGUGCUACUUCUGAGUGCUCAGCACGUGGUGCAGGAGGAGGAGGAGGAGGAGGAGGAGGACAGGCAGCUCCUCCUGCCCAUCUGCAGGUG